GUUUGAUCCUGGCUCAGAUUGAACGCUGGCGGCAUGCCUUACACAUGCAAGUCGAACGGUAACGCGGGGCAACCUGGCGACGAGUGGCGAACGGGUGAGUAAUGCAUCGGAACGUGCCCAGUAGUGGGGGAUAGCCCGGCGAAAGCCGGAUUAAUACCGCAUACGACCUAUGGGUGAAAGCGGGGGAUCGCAAGACCUCGCGCUAUUGGAGCGGCCGAUGUCAGAUUAGCUAGUUGGUGGGGUAAAGGCCUACCAAGGCGACGAUCUGUAGCUGGUCUGAGAGGACGACCAGCCACACUGGGACUGAGACACGGCCCAGACUCCUACGGGAGGCAGCAGUGGGGAAUUUUGGACAAUGGGGGGCAACCCUGAUCCAGCCAUGCCGCGUGCGGGAAGAAGGGCCUUCGGGUUGGUUAAACCGG
rnacentral:rRNA from 1 species